ACUGAACGCUGGCGGCAGGCCUAACACAUGCAAGUCGAACGGUAACAGGAAACAGCUUGCUGUUUCGCUGACGAGUGGCGGACGGGUGAGUAAUGUCUGGGAAACUGCCUGAUGGAGGGGGAUAACUACUGGAAACGGUAGCUAAUACCGCAUAACGUCGCAAGACCAAAGAGGGGGACCUUCGGGCCUCUUGCCAUCGGAUGUGCCCAGAUGGGAUUAGCUAGUAGGUGGGGUAACGGCUCACCCAGGCGACGAUCCCUAGCUGGUCUGAGAGGAUGACCAGCCACACUGGAACUGAGACACGGUCCAGACUCCUACGGGAGGCAGCAGUGGGGAAUAUUGCACAAUGGGCGCAAGCCUGAUGCAGCCAUGCCGCGUGUAUGAAGAAGGCCUUCGGGUUGUAAAGUACUUUCAGCGGGGAGGAAGGGAGUAAAGUUAAUACCUUUGCUCAUUGACGUUACCCGCAGAAGAAGCACCGGCUAACUCCGUGCCAGCAGCCGCGGUAA
rnacentral:rRNA from 1 species